CGCAAACAAGUCUUAACGACUUGAUUCCCUUGUGAAUCAUUAGACUUUGUGUUGCGAUGUUGUGUUUGCAAGCUCGUAUUUCGAGUCUGGUGGUAUUUACCACAGUUUUUGUAAUAAAUAUGUUAUGAAAACAUACUUCCUGUAUUAAAUUUUGACCUGUCUGUCAAAUGUUUGCACCGCCUUUAUGGCGGUGCGUUUUUAU
rnacentral:other from 1 species